AUGCAGGAGAUCGUAUGCGGCUGUGCUGGCAAACCAGAGAGGGAGAACAACUCGUCCAUGAGGAGCAAUUGUGCCGCCAUGCUGCGUCUGCACCGGACGGAUGACGGGGGAUGGUAUGUAUCGGAGAAUCGUGCUUCUCACAACCAUGAACUGCUUCGGACUUGUGCGGAGAAGCUGCACUGGCCAUCACACUGGCGCAUUGACACGUACACCAGGGACCUUGUGAAGCAGUUGCGGCAGAACAAUGUUAAUCUGGGGAAGGUGUACAUCAUCAUUGGCAGUCUGUUUGGGAGAAUGGAGAACGUGUCGUUUACGAAGAGGUGCCUUAGAACUUUCUGUGGAAAGCUUAGUAGGGAGUAG
rnacentral:rRNA from 1 species